rnacentral:rRNA from 1 species
UACGGAGGGGGCAAGCGUUGUUCGGAGUUACUGGGCGUAAAGGGCGCGUAGGCGGUGCAACAAGUCAGGCGUGAAAGCCCCGGGCUUAACCUGGGAAUUGCGCUUGAUACUGUUGCGCUAGAGAUCGGGAGAGGAUAGCGGAAUUCCCAGUGUAGAGGUGAAAUUCGUAGAUAUUGGGAAGAACACCGGUGGCGAAGGCGGCCAUCUGGACCGUAUCUGACGCUGAGGCGCGAAAGCGUGGGGAGCAAACAGGAUUAGAUACCCCCGUAGUCC